rnacentral:rRNA from 1 species
UACAUGGGGUGCAAACGUUGCUCGGAAUUAUUGGGCGUAAAGCGCGCGUAGGCGGUUACUUAAGUCGGAUGUGAAAGCCCACGGCUUAACUGAGGAAGUGCACCCGAAACUGAGUAGCUAGAGUACUAAAGAGGGUCGCGGAAUUCCCGGUGUAGAGGUGAAAUUCGUAGAUAUCGGGAGGAACACCGGUGGCGAAGGCGGCGACCUGGGUAGAGACUGACGCUGAGACGCGAAAGCGUGGGGAGCGAACCGG